CCUGACUGCUAUCGGAUUGAUACUAAGCCAUGCGAGUCUUUGCAGUAAUGCAAGGCGGACUGCUCAGUAACACGUAGUCAACUUACCCUAUGGACGAGGAUAAUCUCGGGAAACUGAGCAUAAUACUCGAUAGAUCAUAAUGCCUGGAAUGGUUUAUGGUUGAAAUGAUUCGUCGCCAUAGGAUGGGACUGCGGCCUAUCAGCUUGUUGGUGAGGUAAUGGCCCACCAAGGCGAUUACAGGUACGGGCUCUGAGAGGAGAAGCCCGGAGAUGGGUACUGAGACAAGGACCCAGGCCCUAUGGGGCGCAGCAGGCGAGAAAACUUUGCAAUGUGCGAAAGCACGACAAGGUUAAUCCGAGUGAUUUCUGCUAAAGAAAUCUUUUGCAAGUCAUAAAACCACUAGUGAAUAAGGGGUGGGCAAGUUCUGGUGUCAGCCGCCGCGGUAAAACCAGCACCUCAAGUGGUCAGGAGGAUUAUUGGGCCUAAAGCAUCCGUAGCCGGCUCUGUAAGUUUUCGGUUAAAUCCAUGUGCUCAACGCAUGGGCUGCCGAAAAUACUGCAUAGCUAGGGAGUGGGAGAGGUAGACGGUACUCGGUAGGAAGGGGUAAAAUCCUUUGAUCUAUCGAUGACCACCUGUGGCGAAGGCGGUCUACCAGAACACGUUCGACGGUGAGGGAUGAAAGCUGGGGGAGCAAACCGGAUUAGAUACCCGGGUAGUCCCAGCUGUAAACGAUGCAGACUCGAUGAUGCAUUGGCAUAUAGCCAGUGCAGUGUCGCAGGGAAGCCGUUAAGUCUGCCGCCUGGGAAGUACGUACGCAAGUAUGAAACUUAAAGGAAUUGGCGGGGGAGCACCACAAGGGGUGAAGCCUGCGGUUC
rnacentral:rRNA from 1 species